GUUUAUUUAUUUUUACUAAUUACAGGGUAUGAGGUUUAGAGUGAGCAGGAACUGUAAUCAGCACAAUUGCUUUGCUAAAUGCUACAAGUAUAUGAAUAGGCAUUCACCAUCAGUGUGAUUUAGGUAGGUGUGCAAAGCUCCAACGCCGCUGAACUUAGGUAGACCUGCAAAGCUCCUAUGAGUCUUUCAAUUUAACAUCGAGUCCUUAGCAGCGGGCAAGACCUCCAGCUUAGCCUUUGUACACAUGAAUCAUUCCAUGCAGUAUCCCUCCCACCCUGAUGUUGUACUGUGUUUAAACCCCAGAAAUAUCAUUUGCUAUAAUAGUAUCCUUCCCAAUUGAAGGAUUUACUAUGUUUUCCUGCAUAGUGUUCUAUGUUGAAAUAUAUAGGAUUUGGAAUCUUAAAAAUGCGUGAUCCUGAAACAG
rnacentral:lncRNA from 1 species